UACGUAGGGGGCCAGCGUUGCUCGGAAUUACUGGGCGUAAAGGGUCCGUAGGCGGUGCGGCAAGUCGAGAGUGAAAUCCCUAGGCUUAACCUAGGGGCUGCUAGCGAAACUGCCGUGCUAGAGUGUGAGAGAGGCGAGUGGAAUUACGGGUGUAGCGGUGAAAUGCGCAGAUAUCAGGAGGAACACCGGUGGCGAAGGCGGGUCUCUGGGCAGUAACUGACGCUGAGGAGCGAAAGCGUGGGGAGCGAACAG
rnacentral:rRNA from 1 species